UACGUAGGGGGCAAGCGUUGUCCGGAAUCAUUGGGCGUAAAGAGCGUGUAGGCGGCCCGGUAAGUCCGCUGUGAAAGUCCAGGGCUCAACCCUGGGAUGCCGGUGGAUACUGUCGGGCUCGAGUCCGGAAGAGGAGUGUGGAAUUCCUGGUGUAGCGGUGAAAUGCGCAGAUAUCAGGAGGAACACCGGUGGCGAAGGCGGGAUCCUGGGCCAGUACUGACGCUGAGGAGCGAAAGCGUGGGGAGCAAACAGG
rnacentral:rRNA from 1 species